AGCAGCCGCGGUAAUUCCAGCUCCAAUAGCGUAUAUUAAAGUUGUUGCAGUUAAAAAGCUCGUAGUUGAAUUUCGGGAUCAAUUGAUUGGUCAUGCCUUGGUAUGAACUGGUCAUAUUGGUUCUCACCUUCUAAUGAACCAUAAUGUCAUUCACUUGAUGUUAUGGGGAAUUAGGACUGUUACCUUGAAAAAAUUAGAGUGUUUAAAGCAGGCUUACGCUUGAAUACAUUAGCAUGGAAUAAUGAAAUAGGACAUCGCAUUCUAUUUUGUUGGUUUCUAGGAUCGAUGUAAUGAUUAAUAGGGAUAGUUGGGGGCAUUAGUAUUCAAUUGUCAGAGGUGAAAUUCUUGGAUUUAU
rnacentral:rRNA from 1 species